CCAAAAACCCGAAAAGUGUGGAUGGGGGUUACCCAAAGUGGUCAAUUUGAACUGGGGUAGGGGAGUAAUGUCCCCCACUAAAAAGGAGAGGGGAAGGGUGGUGCCAGCCGCCGCGGUAAAACCAGCUCUUCAAGUGGUCGGGAUAAUUAUUGGGCUUAAAGUGUCCGUAGCCGGAUUGGAAAGUUCCUGGUAAAAUCGGGUAGCUUAACUAUUCGCAUGCUAGGAAUACUAUCAUUCUAGAGGGCGGGAAAGGUCUGAGGUACUACAGGGGUAGGGGUGAAAUCUUAUAAUCCUUGUAGGACCACCAGUGGCGAAGGCGUCAGACUGGAACGCGCCUGACGGUGAGGGACGAAAGCCAGGGGAGCGAACCGGAUUAGAUACCCGGGUAGUCCUGGCCGUAAACGAUGCAUACUAGGUGAUGGUAUGGCCAUGAACCAUAUCAGUGCCGUAGGGAAACCGUUAAGUGUGCCGCCUGGGAAGUACGGUCGCAAGGCUAAAACUUAAAGGAAUUGGCGGGGGG
rnacentral:rRNA from 1 species